CCUACGGGAGGCAGCAGUGAGGAAUAUUGGUCAAUGGACGAGAGUCUGAACCAGCCAAGUAGCGUGAAGGAUGACUGCCCUAUGGGUUGUAAACUUCUUUUAUAUGGGAAUAAAAUGUUCCACGUGUGGGAUUUUGUAUGUACCAUAUGAAUAAGGAUCGGCUAACUCCGUGCCAGCAGCCGCGGUAAUACGGAGGAUCCGAGCGUUAUCCGGAUUUAUUGGGUUUAAAGGGAGCGUAGGUGGAUUGUUAAGUCAGUUGUGAAAGUUUGCGGCUCAACCGUAAAAUUGCAGUUGAAACUGGCAGUCUUGAGUACAGUAGAGGUGGGCGGAAGUCGUGGUGUAGCGGUGAAAGGCUGAGAUAGCACGAAGAACUCCGAUUGCGAAGGCAGCUCACUGGACUGCAACUGACACUGAGGCUCGAAAGUGUGGGUAUCAAACAGGAUUAGAUACCCGAGUAGUC
rnacentral:rRNA from 1 species